GAUGAACGCUGGCGGCGUGCCUAAUACAUGCAAGUCGAGCGAACAGACGAGGAGCUUGCUCCUCUGACGUUAGCGGCGGACGGGUGAGUAACACGUGGAUAACCUACCUAUAAGACUGGGAUAACUUCGGGAAACCGGAGCUAAUACCGGAUAAUAUAUUGAACCGCAUGGUUCAAUAGUGAAAGACGGUUUUGCUGUCACUUAUAGAUGGAUCCGCGCCGCAUUAGCUAGUUGGUAAGGUAACGGCUUACCAAGGCAACGAUGCGUAGCCGACCUGAGAGGGUGAUCGGCCACACUGGAGCUGGGACGCGGUCCAGGCGCCUACGGGAGGCAGCAGUAGGGAAUCUUCCGCAGUGGGCGAAAGCCUGACGGAGCAACGCCGCGUGAGUGAUGAAGGUCUUCGGAUCGUAAAACUCUGUUAUUAGGGAAGAACAAAUGUGUAAGUAACUAUGCACGUCUUGACGGUACCUAAUCAGAAAGCCACGGCUAACUACGUG
rnacentral:rRNA from 1 species